GCCACCCUAGCUCAAUUGGCAGAGCAAUCGCUUCGUAAGCGAUAGGUUAAGGGUUCAAGUCCCUUGGGUGGCU
rnacentral:tRNA from 1 species